GGUAGGGGUCCACACGUUUGGCCCGAAUGGAGGCACAGGGUGGGCCAAGACGGGGACGCGGGCCUGGAAGGGACAGCUGGAGAGGAAAAGGGGACAAGAGCGAGCUGAGGAGAGGGAGAGGCAUUUGAGAAUUGGAGAGAGCCGGACAGUUGUUGAGAACCGACGAGCGCCAGCUAGAAAGUUGGCAAGCGCCCACAAGGAGGUUGCUCAGAGAUGCAGUGCGUCAGACAGAAAGGUGAAGCGGGCAAGAGAGAAAGUUGUAGAGAGCUGACACAACCGAAAGGCACCACGGAAACCAUGAGAACCAAAGGAAAACAGACAACAGAAGACAGAUGAGAGCAGAGCACAAGGCAGAAGAAUAAAGGGUACACACCACAAUCUCAAACCAGCUGAUCUCAUAUGCUUUCAAGAUUCAGCGUCAACAACAUGAAAGAUGCAACAGAUUCUCCAUAGCAUGGCACCAUUUAGCUUGACAUUGGCUGUGUCUCUACAGGCUACCCUCUUGCUCAAACUCAAAGUAAUGCAGGAAUCACGGGCGGAGUGGGGUGGGGGAAAAUUCUCUGGGUUGUGUCAGACUGGAUGAUCUCUUCAGGCCUUUAAUGUCUAAUGAAAUGAAACGUCUGCAUUCUGCAUAUACAUAAUCAAACUCUCUGAAAAGCCUGGCUGGUGAGUCUAUGUUAGCAAAGCAAAGCCUGGAGUUAAAAGAUCUGGGUUGUCUUAAAUCAUUUACUUUCUAGACAAUGUGCUUCAGACAAAUGUAAAUCACUGGGUGAAGUUCAAGGGUUGCCAGGUGAAAUUCUGUGGCUUGUGCUAUGCAAGAGGACAGACUACAUAGCCUGCUUGAGUGGGACAAGGUUUAGCAAUUAGCCGCUGGCUUUAAUGACGCACAUUAGGACAGACAUUGAAAACCGGAAGAAUCGGACAAUUCAUUUGCUUUCCAAUGGAAAAAAAAAAGAAAGAAAGACUUAAAACAAAUAGAUUAAAAAAUCUGAAGCAAACGCCCAGAAGUGACACUUGAAUGCUCCGCAACCAGGCUGGGGGUGGGGGAGAAGCGCAUUCAGAGGGAAAAAGGGAACUCAGCAGGCAAAAGGAAAUGACCCGUGCUCCUCAGUUAAUAUUUACACACAGCAGAAGGGAUGGAAGGAACGAAUGGCAAAAUAGGCCCAGAGGAAGAGAAGGAGAGGAGUGGGGGGGAGAUGUUCCUGUUAACCAAUGGGGCCUGUGAGCCUGCCGAAACUGACACGCCGGCUGAAACUGACUUUCCUGUUGAAACUGACGGGGCUGUGAAUGCCUUUAACUUUAUGCACGUGCUUAAAUCUGAAGCCACUUAUUGUUCUCGUUAAGUCCUUCGCUAAAGCAAGCCGUCCCAUGGACCCCGACGGAUCGACGGGCGGCCCAGAUUUACACGAAGCAGCCAACGGCUCAUUGAGUCUGAUCCAAAGACAGAGACGCUCCGAAAGGAGGCGGUGGAUUGGCCCAAAACGUCAGCUCUAGAUUGGCCGUCUUGCUGGAAGACACCUGAGCUAGCCACAGGGUUUUAAGCUCCAGGCAGGGAUCGGACAAGGCACUCAAAAGCCCAUUGACAGGUUGGCAUCUCACAGGCAGGUUUACGUGCCGCAGUGAGCAGGGAUGGAUUUGGUUGCACAGGACCGGAGAGGCGAUGCCAGCAAAUCCAUCCCGUUCGUGCUCUGACCAGCUGCUUGGCUGAAUCGGCACCUGCAGGCACAAAAGCGAAGCCUGUUGUGUGUUUAUAAAAUCCAGAUCCUCGACUGUAUUUCAUUCAGCUCAUUUCCACAGACUUCAAGGAAGUUAGGAGCCUACAUAGCGUUGAUGAUCAGGGCCUAACAGUGCCACCACAGUCACCCCGUGCUGGCUGCUUUGUUAAAUCCAGGGCCACACAUAGAUCUGGUAGCGUUCAUGGGCGCGCCUCACACGGAUGAGGUGACAGGGUCAGGAGGGCGUCUCCUGCAGGGGUCAGUCCUGGGUCCGGUAUUAGCCCAUCUGACAUUUUCGCGAAUGACUUGGCUAAUGGAAAAGAGAGUGCGCUGUUCAAUUUGCAGAUGACCUGAGCUGGGUGGGGUGGCAAGCCCUUUGGAGGACAGGAUUCAAACUCAAAACUCCCUUGACGGCUUGGAGAAUUGGUCUGAAGCCAACACCAGGAUGUUCAAUACAGACACGUUCAAAGUACUUCACUUAGGAAGGAAAAAAUCGAACGCACAGCUACAAAAUGGAGACUAAGUGGGCAGGGGGUCAGAUGGCUGGCAAGGCUCUGGGGGGUGACAGUGGGUCACAAAUUGGAGCUGAAUCAGCCAUGUGAUGUAGUUCUGAAAAAAGGCUAAUGACGAAUAUCAUUCUGGGGUGUAUGAACAGGCGUGUCGUAGGUAAGAUACGGAAGGUGAUUGUCCCGCUCUGCUCAGGCCUCAGCUGGAGUCCUGUGACUUUAGGCCAGACGUGCAUAAAUUGCAGAGAGUCCAGAGGAGAGCAACAAAAAUGAGAAAAGGUUUGGAAAACCUAACCUACGAGGGAAGGUUAUGGGGCUUUGUGGAGUGGAAUCCUCCACCCUGCAUCCUCAGAGGGAAGGAUACUGGUUUUUGGAGCACUCCCAGGGUGCCUGGCUGAGCUGGGGGGGGUAGAGAAGAGGGGUGAUAUGUUCUUCACUCAGUAGGUGGAAUUAUAUCUGCCCCAGAGAUACCCUGUCCAUGAGGAAUGGUAGAAGCUCCCCACCUUCACAGCUGUGGGAGGUGAUUUAAUUUGUUGGGGUUUGUAUCAAGCUGGCCAUGAAGGGGUGUGUUUAGGUGUCUCUGUGUGUAUGUGUGAAAUGCUGCCCCCUGCUUGAGGAAAUCAGGCCUUGUGUGUGCGAGAACGCACUUGUGUUUUGCAUGCCCCCCCGAAUUGGUUCAUUCUAUGGUUGGGCAGGUGCAUUUGCACCACCGCUCAAUAUUGUACAUCCUCAGUUCACUAUGUGCGUGUGUAGGCGUGUGAUGUGUUACUAUUUAUCCGGCCAAAACCAUCUCACAGCUCCGAUCUGGAACAAAACAUUGGUUCCUCUCAGGUUCAGAGAGAGGGAGGGGAAAACUCUCUCGAUCCAAAAUGGAGCAAAUAAUGGGGAUGCGGGGGGGCGGGGGAAAUAGAGGAGUGAUAAAUCCAGACAGGAUCCCAGAUCAUGCGGUGAUUGGAAAACUAAUUUAUUUUGGCUGUUCUUUUACAUGUUUCCAAGCAGCAAAAGGGGGGAAAAUGUGAGUGUUUUUUUUUCUCCAGUUCAUUUGUCUUUUUAAAAAUGUUUUAAUGCCACACAGACCGAAAAGGGGCAGAGGAAGAGAACGGAAGUGGAAACAGGAAAGGGAGGAAGGUAAGAAAAAAUGAAGAUGUUAUUUGUUUGUUUGUUUCUUAGCAAACACACCACAGAUUACAGGAAAACAGCCCACACUGAAACAAUACACAGUUCAAUACCCAAAAAAAGGGAAGUUGAGGGACAUCGACAACUCGGUAGGAAUUUUUCUCCCGCAUUUGUUUUGUUUUUUUAGUCUUUUUUUAACAGCUUUUUUUUUGUUCGCUUUUGUGUUUUGUUUAAAAAAGAUCAAAAAAUCUAAGUUUGGUUUGUUCUUUUUUUUUCUUUCCUGGAAGGUGUGCUGGGAAUACAGACACGGUGGAAUGGAGAUUGUGUAGGUAGGUACAGGGAUUGUGAGCACACACACAGAUCACAUACUAUAUAUAACGGCUAGAUCCUGGGGCCAAGCCGCAGCUGAGAGAAAUGGUUAGUGGUGCUAAAUCCAUGGAACUAUCAUCAUUUGUACCAGCUGGGAAUCUGGCUCUGUAUGCGUGUGUGUGUGUGUGUGUAUGCGGUGUGUAUGUGUAUAUUUUGUAUAUCAAGUAUAUUUUGACACACUGUGUGUAUGAAUACAUAUGUAUAUAGCAUAUUUGUGAUAUAUGUGUGUAUACAUAGUUACACACAUAUAUAGUAUAGCUACUAUGUAUAUGGGAAUGUAGAUAUAUAUUUAUACAUAACGAUACACACAGAGGAUAUUUUAUAUAUUCAUAUAUAUGUGUAUGUGUGUGCAUAUAUAUGCAUAUAUAAAGGCAGAUAAACUUCUAUAGUAAAUUUACUAUAUAUGUAUGUGUGUAUUUAUAUACAACAUAUAUAUAAAUAUUAUACACAUAGUAAAGAUAUGCAUAUAUUUUUUAUAUAAAGAUAGAUAUAGACACGUAUGGUAUAUUUCCUAUACAUAUGUAUGUGUGUAUGUAUAUAUAAAUCUAAAUAUUUACACAUAUAUCUAUGUAUAUAUAUCUAUAUAUGAGAUAUAUAUUAUAUAUAUGCGAUAUAGAUAUAUGUAUAGUAAAUAUACAUAUUGUACACGUAUUAUAUAUGUGUACUUAUAUUUAUAUAUAAAUAUAUCUGCACUCAUACAGAUAUAUAAGAAAUAUACUAUCUAUACAAACAUAAUAAAUAUGCUGUAGAUGUGUCUUUAUGUAUCUUUAUUUAUAUAUAUGAAUAUACAAAUAAAUAUUAAAUAUCCUAUAGAUGUGUGUAUUUAUCUUAAAUAUAUUUACUCAGACAUACAGAUAUAUAGGAAAUAUACUAUAGAUGUGUCUGUCUAUGUAUACUCAUACACACAUAAACAGUAAAUAUGCUGUAUAUUUGUGUAUCUUUAUAUAUAUAUAUACACACACACAAUAGAAAUAUUAAAUAUAUUAUAGAGGUUUAAUUAAAUAUACCAUAUUUAAUAUUCAUGUUUAUAUACACACAUCUAUAAUAUAUCUAAUACAUACACAUAUAUAGACAUCUAUAGUAUAUUUAAUAAUUAUAUUCACACACACACACAUAUAUAUAUAUACACACACAUCUGUAGGAUAUUUAAGAUACAAAUACACACAUAUAUACACAUAUGCAUAUCUAUCUAUCUAUCUAUCUAUCUAUCUAUCAUGGUACAUAUACAUACACAUUGCCUCCAAUAUAGUCUCACACCCACUGGGCCAGAUCCCCAGCUGGUAUAAAACUACCAUCUUCUUUGCCUUCAGUGAAGCAAAGCUGAAUGACACCAGCAGUGACCUGGCCCUAUUCCAUGC